GGCGACCGCUUUGGGAGUUCGAUUAAGCCAUGCGAGUCGUGAGUCUUAGGGACUCGGCAUACUGCUCAGUAACACGUGGAUAACCUGCCCUAUCGUCUGGAAUAACCUCGGGAAACUGAGAAUAAGGCCGGAUAGUUCACAAUGCCUGGAACGGUUUGUGAAUCAAGGUAGGGAUGGGUCUGCGGCGUAUCAGGUUGUAGGGGGUGUAAAGGACCCCCUAGCCUUCGACGCGUACGGGUGUUGGGAGACAUAGCCCGGAGAUGGAUUCUGAGACACGAAUCCAGACCCUACGGGGUGCAGCAGGCGCGAAAACUUCACACUGCAGGAAACUGUGAUGAGGGAACUCCUAGUGCAUGCACUAUGUGUAUGUAGAUCCUACUCUUAACAAGUAGAGGGAAAGGGCUGGGAAAGACCGGUGCCAGCCGCCGCGGUAAUACCGGCAGCUCAAGUGGUCGUCGCUUUUAUUGGGCCUAAAACGUCCGUAGCCUGUUUGGUAAAUCUGUGGGUAAAUCAAUCCGCUCAACGGAUUGAAUUCUGCAGAGACUGCCAGACUAGGGACCGGGAGAGGUGUGGGGUACUCGAGGGGUAGGGGUAAAAUCCUGUCAUCCUUCGAGGACCACCAGUUGCGAAGGCGCCACACUGGAACGGAUCCGACGGUCAGGGACGAAGCCUAGGGGCACGAACCGGAUUAGAUACCCGGGUAGUCCUAGGUGUAAACGCUGUGAACUUGGUGUCGGGGGUCCGCAAGGGGUCCCCGGUGCCGGAGUGAAGAUGUUAGGUUCACUGCCUGGGGAGUACGGUCGCAAGGCUGAAACUUAAAGGAAUUGGCGGGGGAGCACUGCAACGGGAGGAGCGUGCGGUUU
rnacentral:rRNA from 1 species